rnacentral:tRNA from 2 species
CCGACCUUAGCUCAGUUGGUAGAGCGGAGGACUGUAGUCGUUACGAACAGAUAUCCUUAGGUCGCUGGUUCGAAUCCGGCAGGUCGGA